GUUUCAUUCAAGAUUUACUUUCUAUUUACUUACUUAUUAUCCAAUCUUACCUGGGAACCUCAUUAUAAUGAAGGUUCGAGUGGCAGUGUAGAGUGAACAAGCAAGGACUUCUAUUUCAUUAAGCGUAUCAGGUGGGCUUACUAACUCAAGAGAUAAAGAUGCAUACUUUACUAUACAAAGUUUAAGUUUAUGCAUUUAUUUUCAAAUUAUUGACUUGCCAAUAUUUGAGAUUUGUAUGAUACCAUCUACAUAGAAGAACGAAUUCAGGUCCUGAGUGAGUCAGGAUUUGUGUACACAGAGUUGACAGUUAACCUUUGAGUUAGCUUGUCAUCGUGUUUGAGAAGAAGG
rnacentral:lncRNA from 1 species